UUAACUUCACACAUAAUGCUUAGUGCAUAUUAUAAGAGUGAUUGUCAUGGAUUCUUAGUUUAAUCGAGAACUUAUCAAGGAGUUUCCUUGUAGUGUUCCAAACCAGAACUUUUCAAGAGAUCAUUCUCUUGUAAUAUUCUAAAGGCUUACCCCUUCUAAGUGUGACAUCUCUUAUCACCAUCUCUUGUCUCAUUUCUUUUCCACUUAUUUUAUCAUUUUUUCGAUUUCCUUCAUUGCCUUAGAUUUAAGCACUAUAGAAUCCAUUGGUUGUUAUAUUUCUUCAAGAAAGUUGAGGGACAUUGGAACAUACGCAAACAACCUUCAGUUUUUCAUAUGAAUCCAUCAUCCUACACCCUCCACAAAUUCAAAAGCCAUAAACAAUUAUUUUUUCAUAUGAAUCCAUCACCCUACAACCUCCACAAAUUCGAAAGCCAUAAACAAUUAUUUUUUUAUAUUUACAACUCAAGAACGAUAUGAAGCAUUUAAUGGAAGGCAGAAUUUCAUCAUUUGGUAUCAUAGAACAUUGUAAAAAAAACUAAGCACCCAUAUAUAUCUAUUACAAAUAUUUAUUUUAAUUUUCAUAGAGUUUAUCAUUCAUUCAUGCAUUAAUGUUGUAAUUGUUUUUUAUUUCUAAUAAAAAUAGAGUUAAUUACAUUGAUAUUCCUGAGUUUUAAUGAAAUUACAAAAAUCACCCCUCACUUUUUUUACACCAACACAAACCUCUCAUAGUUUUUAUACUGUCAUUGCACUGAUCACCAUUGCAUGAGAAAUAAGUGUCAUCUUUUAAACAUAAAAUGUGAUAAAUGCAAUUAAGUUAAACAAAACAUGGUAUAUUGUGAGGAAACAUCCACAUAAUAUAUAAAUCAAUGUAUCUUUAUUAUUUUUUGUUACAAAAUGCAUCAAAAAUUCUAAAGAGAUAUUGUUUAAAUCGCUCUUAUAAUAUAUCGUAAUGAACCAAAACUAAUAAAGAGGUAUCAACUCAUAUAUUAUUUGGACUUGUCUCCAUAGUAUACAAUAUUUUGUUUAACUUAAUUGCAUUUAUAACAUUUUUUGUUUAAAAAUCAUACUUAUUUCUUAUGCAAUGGUGGUCAGUGCAACAAAAGUAUAAAAAUUAAGGGGGUGUGUGUAGGUGUAGAAAAGUGAGGGGUGGUUUGUGUAAUUUUACUAAAAUUCAGGGGGUGUCAGUGUAAUUUACUCAUAAUAAUAAGAGAAAAAAUAUGUGCACC
rnacentral:lncRNA from 1 species